UACGUAGGGUGCGAGCGUUAAUCGGAAUUACUGGGCGUAAAGCGUGCGCAGGCGGUUCGUUGUGUCGGCGGUGAAAGCCCCGGGCUCAACCUGGGAAUGGCCGUUGAAACUGGCGAACUGGAGUGUGGCAGAGGGGGGUGGAAUUCCGCGUGUAGCAGUGAAAUGCGUAGAGAUGUGGAGGAACACCGAUGGCGAAGGCAGCCCCCUGGGCUAAGAUUGACGCUCAUGCACGAAAGCGUGGGGAGCAAACAGG
rnacentral:rRNA from 1 species